CUUUCGACCGGGACGAUAAUGACGGUACCUGUAGAAGAAGCCCCGGCUAACUUCGUGCCAGCAGCCGCGGUAAUACGAAGGGGGCAAGCGUUGUUCGGAAUUACUGGGCGUAAAGGGUGCGUAGGCGGUUCUGUAAGUCUGGUGUGAAAUCUCCGGGCUCAACUCGGAGGCUGCACCUGAAACUGCAGGGCUUGAGUGUGGGAGAGGUGAGUGGAAUUCCCGGUGUAGCGGUGAAAUGCGUAGAUAUCCGGAGGAACACCUGUGGCGAAAGCGGCUCUCUGGACCAUUACUGACGCUGAGGCACGAAAGCUUGGGGAGCAAACAGGAUUAGAUACCCUGGUAGUCC
rnacentral:rRNA from 1 species